CUCAGGACGAACGCUGGCGGCGUGCCUAAUACAUGCAAGUAGAACGCUGAAGAGAGGAGCUUGCUCUUCUUGGAUGAGUUGCGAACGGGUGAGUAACGCGUAGGUAACCUGCCUUGUAGCGGGGGAUAACUAUUGGAAACGAUAGCUAAUACCGCAUAACAAUGGAUGACACAUGUCAUUUAUUUGAAAGGGGCAAUUGCUCCACUACAAGAUGGACCUGCGUUGUAUUAGCUAGUAGGUGAGGUAAUGGCUCACCUAGGCGACGAUACAUAGCCGACCUGAGAGGGUGAUCGGCCACACUGGGACUGAGACACGGCCCAGACUCCUACGGGAGGCAGCAGUAGGGAAUCUUCGGCAAUGGGGGCAACCCUGACCGAGCAACGCCGCGUGAGUGAAGAAGGUUUUCGGAUCGUAAAGCUCUGUUGUAAGUCAAGAACGGGUGUGAGAGUGGAAAGUUCACACUGUGACGGUAGCUUACCAGAAAGGGACGGCUAACUACGUGCCAGCAGCCGCGGUAAUACGUAGGUCCCGAGCGUUGUCCGGAUUUAUUGGGCGUAAAGCGAGCGCAGGCGGUUUGAUAAGUCUGAAGUUAAAGGCUGUGGCUCAACCAUAGUUCGCUUUGGAAACUGUCAAACUUGAGUGCAGAAGGGGAGAGUGGAAUUCCAUGUGUAGCGGUGAAAUGCGUAGAUAUAUGGAGGAACACCGGUGGCGAAAGCGGCUCUCUGGUCUGUAACUGACGCUGAGGCUCGAAAGCGUGGGGAGCGAACAGGAUUAGAUACCCUGGUAGUCCACGCCGUAAACGAUGAGUGCUAGGUGUUGGAUCCUUUCCGGGAUUCAGUGCCGCAGCUAACGCAUUAAGCACUCCGCCUGGGGAGUACGACCGCAAGGUUGAAACUCAAAGGAAUUGACGGGGGCCCGCACAAGCGGUGGAGCAUGUGGUUUAAUUCGAAGCAACGCGAAGAACCUUACCAGGUCUUGACAUCCCGAUGCUAUUUCUAGAGAUAGAAAGUUACUUCGGUACAUCGGUGACAGGUGGUGCAUGGUUGUCGUCAGCUCGUGUCGUGAGAUGUUGGGUUAAGUCCCGCAACGAGCGCAACCCCUAUUGUUAGUUGCCAUCAUUCAGUUGGGCACUCUAGCGAGACUGCCGGUAAUAAACCGGAGGAAGGUGGGGAUGACGUCAAAUCAUCAUGCCCCUUAUGACCUGGGCUACACACGUGCUACAAUGGUUGGUACAACGAGUUGCGAGUCGGUGACGGCGAGCUAAUCUCUUAAAGCCAAUCUCAGUUCGGAUUGUAGGCUGCAACUCGCCUACAUGAAGUCGGAAUCGCUAGUAAUCGCGGAUCAGCACGCCGCGGUGAAUACGUUCCCGGGCCUUGUACACACCGCCCGUCACACCACGAGAGUUUGUAACACCCGAAGUCGGUGAGGUAACCUUUUGGAGCCAGCCGCCUAAUGUGGGACAGAUGAUUGGGGUGAAGUC
rnacentral:rRNA from 1 species